AGCAGUCGCGCGGUAAUACGGAGGGUGCAAGCGUUAUCCGGAUUUAUUGGGUUUAAAGGGUCCGUAGGCGGACUUAUAAGUCAGUGGUGAAAGCCUGUCGCUUAACGAUAGAACUGCCAUUGAUACUGUAAGUCUUGAGUAUAUUUGAGGUAGCUGGAAUAAGUAGUGUAGCGGUGAAAUGCAUAGAUAUUACUUAGAACACCAAUUGCGAAGGCAGGUUACCAAGAUAUAACUGACGCUGAGGGACGAAAGCGUGGGUAGCGAACAGGAUUAGAGACCCCCGUAGUCCCUGUCUCUUAUACA
rnacentral:rRNA from 1 species